rnacentral:tRNA from 1 species
GAGGCGUUAAUAAAAAUAAUUAUAUAACUUUGUCAAAGUUAAAUUAUAGGCUCAAAUCCUUUACACCUCU